GAGAACAUGUCCAGUGUGAACCACUGUUAUUCCAAACGUGUAUGAACGGGGAUUUCUGAAUACUAAAGGGAGACAUUUAUAGACCUUUCUGCACAAAACAACGGUGAGGUAGGACUAUAUAAGCAUAUAAAUAUGAAGACCGAGGCAGGUUUUCGAGCUUUUUUCUUCAGUAAAUAUUUCUCAGGGUGGUGGGCUUAUUUUUUUAAAAAGUUUUGGCGCGAAUAACUACAACCGUGAAUCUAUUGAAUGUUACUGAAUCCCAGAAAAGAAGAUGAAGAAAAAAGGGUUUGACCCAGAAGCGGGCGUGUUGCCACAGCUAAUAAGGAGGUUCUCAGGCAGGGAGAGGCCAGGAUGGGGUUGCACACCAGGGAGAGAGUUUCAAGUUCAAGUGCAAGAUUACAUGUUCUUGACCAAGAGGAAGAGCCGAGGAAAAAAAGUGUGGUUUCCCUCCCCCUCCCCUUCUUCUCUACACUUAUCCGUAAAGAAAGGAAGGAAGCGGAAGAGAGAGGUGUCUGUGAGGAGGAAUGAUGAAAAGGCAGAGAGAGGGAGAGAGAGAGAGAAGGAGGGGGUAAAAGAAGAGAGCAGGACUGAGGAGAGUGGACUGGCAGAAACGUGAAAUACGAGAGGGAGAAGAGUAAAGUAGGAGAGGAACCCGUAAGAGGAGAAACGAGGGAUGGCUGACCUGGAAGUGGGCAAAAUCGGGGGAAAGGAAACCACCAUUCUAUUCCAACACUUGCUGAAGCUGGGAUGCAUCACCUGAGAUCUGCUCUGAUGCUCAUCAGGGACUACAGGUGUUCACUCCUCAUACGACAUACAGCUCAAAGGAGACCAGCUGGUCAGUGAUCAGGUUUCGACCUAACACCUGGACGUUUUGGGAAAAUUGGAUUACUUCCAUAUACUGUGCUUUUGGUAUUCCAUAUUGCCCUGUCCUCAUGUUACCUGAUGACAGCUGAAGGAGCUGUCCAAGUGUUAACAUGUUAUUUUUGGUUGGUUGAUUUAUGGCUUUUUAUAUUAGUAAUUUACUAAGAAUUACUUUACACUGUAAGUUAGUUUUAUUUGAUUGUGUAAUAUUGCGGAGAAAUCCUCUAUCUUUGUCUCAGGAGUCGGCGAAUGUGUCUUUGAUUUUCCAAAAGAAAAGCUCCUCAAGCUGAUGAGGUUUUACUGAAGCUCCUGGUAGAAUCGUGCAGAGGAUGAUGCCACGGCUUACAGCCUCUGCGGUGAAACAUAUUGCAGUAAAAGUACCCAUCAACAACACCCCAUGGUUUUAUUAUGACUGACACAACACAGUUUGGUGCAAACAUUAUGUGUUUACUGCUCUCUGUGCACCUUCACUGCCUGAAGGAAGUGAGGGUAAAAAUCUGAACAGCGCAAUGCAGUCGGAGCCCCUUUUUCCAGGUGCUUUAAAUGAGGUUUAAAGCACGAAAGAAAGAGUGACGUAAUUGUGCAUUUUUAAUU